GUGUUCACCUGGCUGGGGACAUACCAAGAUCUCGGGAAGGUGGAUUUCCCAGGGUGAGCUUUACCCAUCGCACCCUGGAUGUGCUGACCCCUGCAAUUUCUCCAAAUGUGGGAAACUCGACUGCACAAUUUGUGGUAGUGGGGGACUGUGUUCUCCCUCUCCCCUG
ensembl:snRNA U1 U1 spliceosomal RNA